AACGAACGCUGGCGGCAUGCCUAACACAUGCAAGUCGAACGAAGCCUUCGGGCUUAGUGGCGCACGGGUGCGUAACGCGUGGGAAUCUGCCCCUUGCUUCGGAAUAACAGUUAGAAAUGACUGCUAAUACCGGAUGAAGUCUUCGGACCAAAGAUUUAUCGGCAAGGGAUGAGCCCGCGUAGGACUAGGUAGUUGGUGGGGUAAAGGCCUACCAAGCCGACGAUCCUUAGCUGGUCUGAGAGGAUGAUCAGCCACACUGGGACUGAGACACGGCCCAGACUCCUACGGGAGGCAGCAGUGGGGAAUAUUGGACAAUGGACGCAAGUCUGAUCCAGCAAUGCCGCGUGAGUGAUGAAGGCCUUAGGGUUGUAAAGCUCUUUUACCAGGGAUGAUAAUGACAGUACCUGGAGAAUAAGCUCCGGCUAACUCCGUG
rnacentral:rRNA from 1 species